rnacentral:lncRNA from 1 species
GUCUAUGCUUUGGCGGUGCCCCUAGAUCACGCCCGUGGUACACUAAGAGCAAAUUCCGGAAACUUGUCUAUGUUUUGGCGGUGCCCCUAGAUCACACGCCCAUGGUACUCUAAGAGCAAGGUUGGAUGUCUAGACCAAGAAGCCAUGGGAAGCCCUCUCAGGGUUUGGCGAAGGCUGAAAGUGAGUGGAUUUGUCUUUUGAAGUGCUGCUCUGCCUGGGGCGUUCGGGAACCAGUGGGGGGCCGCUUACCCCGGGGGAAGGCGACUGUAGAGACUCUGAGAAGGCCUGCUAGGAUGGUGAUGAAGGCCAGGAGUGGAAGCUAGUGCAGAGAAGCGGGCAGAUGGGAAAGGUCCUGACACUAAGGCGGAGGAGGGAGAGGCAUGGUAAAGACCAUGAGUUCCCUGUAGUGAAUGACUGCUGGUCUCCACUUCGGUUGUGGUGACAGUCCCUCAACUUCGCAACUGGUACACCAAGGCCUUUGGUAGCCCCCUCCCCCUCCCCUACUUCACACGGGAUAUUGUUCCUGGAGACUGUCCCCCUAAGAGCCAAGAUGACAGUUAGGGUCCCAGGAGAGCGGCAGCAGUCUGAGUCACAGUGGGUGGCUGUUGGCCUUCUCUGGGUGGGGACAGCAGCAACAUCAGGGUAGGCCGAUGACACGCUCACUCGUGGCUCUAAAAGUUAGCUCACUCAGUGGGGCCUUGACCUUCCCAGACCUCUGAGCUACCAGACAGAAGAAUUCUACAAUAUCCGAGACUACUCGUCAGGCCUGGGUCUUUAGAAAUUAGUAGCGUCCAAUUC